rnacentral:tRNA from 1 species
GCGGAGAUGGCGGAAUGGCUACGCACCCGCCUGCAGAGCGGGCCAUCCGGGUUCGAAUCCCGGUCUCCGCU